rnacentral:rRNA from 1 species
AGUGAACGCUGGCGGUAGGCCUAACACAUGCAAGUCGAACGGCAGCACAGUAAGCGCUUGCUCUUACGGGUGGCGAGUGGCGGACGGGUGAGGAAUACAUCGGAAUCUACUUUUUCGUGGGGGACAACGUAGGAAAACUUACGCUAAUACCGCAUACGACCUACGGGUGAAAGCAGGGGAUCUUCGGACCUUGCGCGAUUGAAUGAGCCGAUGUCGGAUUAGCUAGUUGGCGGGGUAAAGGCCCACCAAGGCGACGAUCCGUAGCUGGCCUGAGAGGAUGAUCAGCCACACUGGAACUGAGACACGGUCCAGACUCCUACGGGAGGCAGCAGUGGGGAAUAUUGGACAAUGGGCGCAAGCCUGAUCCAGCCACACCGCGUGGGUGAAGAAGGCCUUCGGGUUGUAAAGCCCUUUUGUUGGGAAAGAAAAGCAGCAGGUGAAUACCCCGCUGUUCUGACGGUACCCAAAGAAUAAGCACCGGCUAACUUCGUG